rnacentral:rRNA from 1 species
AUGAAGGCACGGCAGUUGGUGAACGUGGUGAUGCGGAGGUACGGCAUGGGCAUGGGCAUGGGCAGCAGCCACUAUUCGUUGAGCCGCAUCAAGCCCGAGGAGCAGCUCUUCUUCCCAUCAACCAAGGAGGCGCAAGCAUCCAGCACGGGGGAGAUGGAGACCAUCUCCAGGAUGCCCGCGCCCAGCCUGAGCCUCGUACGCUCGGCGGUCCUGGUGGAGAGGCUGGAUUUCCUCCCUUUCUACGAGCGCAAGAUCCUCUGCGUCGACGCCCAGGGCCGCACCGUCCUAUACGACGCCGACGCCGACGCCGGCCUCCUCCAUCCGCUGCCCUCCCUCAGGGGUCCCAAGGGGCCCAACCCCAUCUCAUUCUCCAUCCUCGACAGGAAGCCUCUGGACCCGCGGCGGGCCGACGUCCUGUACGUCAUGGACAGGUGCCCUCGGCGCUACGACUACUACAGCUUCGAGGCCCUCAUGUACAGCGACCCCUCCAACGGCAGGAAAGGCUGGCGGUGGCACCGGCUCCCGCCUCCGCCCGCCUCCGCCAACGGCUGCCACGCGCUCAUCGACAAGGACGGCGGCGGCGGCGACCCCAUCCUCGUCGUCUCGUCCGCCGACGGCACCCACUGCUUUCACACCUUCACCAACACCUGGUUCGAGGCUGGAGGCGGGAGGCUGCCGUUCGCCGGCCGUGCCCACCGUGUUCCUGAGCUCGACAACCUCUGGUUUGGCAUCGCCAGCGACUGGCCCUACGACCUUUGCGCCAUGGACCUCUACCCCCUCUGCGGCCUACGCCCCGAGGCUCCGCGCCUGGCCUACAGCUGGGGAGACCUUAGCCUGCCGGACGACUGGGAGAUGAUGGACUGCAGCAUGGUGUACCUGGGCGGCGGCAGGUUCUGCGUCGCCAAAAUCUUUGAAUUCUGCCUCGGCGAUGACCGCAAGGGGAUGGGUGUCAUCUCUGGCUUGGAGGUGGUGCGCCAAGGCGAGCCAUCCAAACUCGUCAUGGUCAAGCACAAGUCCAAGUUGUACAAGUUUACCAGGGGUGAGAUCCAGUGUAUCCUCUAG